UGUGACUGCGUACCUUUUGUAUAAUGGGUCAGCGACUUAUAUUCAGUGGCAAGGUUAACCAUCUAGGGGAGCCGUAGGGAAACCGAGUCUUAACUGGGCGUUCAGUCUCUGGAUAUAGACCCGAAACCAGGUGAUCUAGCCAUGGGCAGGUUGAAGGUUGAGUAACAUCAACUGGAGGACCGAACCGACUAAUGUUGAAAAAUUAGCGG
rnacentral:rRNA from 1 species